GAUGAACGCUGACAGAAUGCUUAACACAUGCAAGUCUUUGGCGAAGCUGUGCUUGCACAGCCUAGCCAAGGCGGACGGGUGAGUAACGCGUAAGGAACUUGCCCUGCAGUCAGGGAUAACAGACGGAAACGACUGAUAAGACCUGGUAAAGUCAGGCGGACUCAUGUCCAGCCUGAUGAAAAGUGAUGCUGCAGGAGAGCCUUGCGUCCUAUUAGCUUGUUGGUGGGGUAACGGCCCACCAAGGCGAUGAUAGGUAGCCGGCCUGAGAGGGUGGACGGCCACAAGGGGACUGAGAUACGGCCCUUACUCCUACGGGAGGCAGCAGUGGGGAAUAUUGGACAAUGGGGGCAACCCUGAUCCAGCAAUUCUGUGUACACGAUGAAGGUUUUCGGAUUGUAAAGUGCUUCCAACAGGGAAGAAAAAAAUGACGGUACCUGCAGAAGAAGCGACGGCUAAAUACGUG
rnacentral:rRNA from 1 species